rnacentral:tRNA from 1 species
GGGGAUAUAGCUCAGUGGUAGAGCACUUGCUUAGCAUACAAGAAGCCUUGGUUUUCAUCCCCA